CAAAAUGGUUUAACUUUUAACAAGUACUAUGCAAUGUAUUUAAACAACACUGAUGAUCAAACACAACAAAACAAAAAAACAGUAUCCAGUGUUGUCUUAUGAAUUAUUAUAUAAACGUUUUACAGAAGAUACGUUGAUUUUUACUGUGUAAAAGAAUAACUUGACUCAAAAAUGUUUGACUUUUCUCCUAAUGUAUCAGUAGAAGGUGUGUGGUGUAUUAGCCAACCACUUUGUGUCAGUGUAAAGUGAACACGGUCAUCAUUACGUACUCGGAGAAGAAGGUACAUCCCUGCACCAUAAAGAUUAAUGCCCACAUGCUCCUGAAAAUGUGAUGAUGUAAUGGAUAUUUAUGGUUGGGCUGCUUUUUAAUCUUACAAGACGAGAAGCAUAUGCGGCAGAUUUUAGUGAAGUAAGACUUGAGAUUUGUCAUUCACACAAGGAAAGGCAGUAAAAAAGAUCUGCUGUCUGGAAUCAGGUGGGAUGAAAGAAAACGAUUUGAAAAAGUUCAGAGGAGUUACUCCCUGGUACGGAACCGAUGGAACAAAAUUGAUUUCCAGUUCACUGCUGGUCAGAAAUUAGAUUCAUUUAUUGAAGAACUGGCUGCAGGUUUCUAAUGUUCUUAACUUCUAAUAUAUUAUUUAGUCUCAAAUGUAGAAUACUGUUUAUCUAGUUGCAACACCAUUUUUUUUUCAUGGAAAAUCUGCAUGGAACCACUAGUGCACAAUAUAUCCUAUCGCAGAAGUUCCUCAAGAGUUCAUCUGACAUUGAACCACUAAAAACCUGGUCUGAAUGGGAUGUAGCUGCAUUUCCCCUUAAAUUUAAGGCAGUUCCAGUCAUUGUUAAAAUGAAUAGUUUGUUGGACGGGUGCAAUAAAGAUGAAAUAUUUCUCCCUAUAUCAUUUUUUAUUUUGUAUUAAGUCACAUGUACAGUGUUUGUGUAAAAAUCUUGAUUGUUGUCCAAGAAUGAAGCCUUAUGGGUAGACCUUAUAUGUUAGCCCUAUUCUAAAAUACACUUAUCGACCACUUGUGACACUGUAGUCAUCAAGAUAUGGACAUGGUAAGCAGCAAUACUCAGGUAGCCAGUGACCUUGUAACCAUGCUCAAUUGGUGUUACCAGGCCAACCGAGAGACAUAGUCUUUCCGGCGAGUACUGGGUCUUCUCCACCCAGUGGGACAUGCCUGGAACACAACUCCACGGAGACGUCCAGCAGGCAUCCGGACCGGAUACCCGAGCCACCUCAACUGGCUCCUCUCGAUGUGGAGGAACGGCUUUAUUCUGAGCACUCUGCGGGUGACCACGCUUCUCACUGUCUAUAACGGAGCGCCCAGCCACCCUCUGGAGAAAGCUCAUUUCAGCCGCUUAUAGUCGAGAUCUCGUUCUUUCGGUCGCAACCCUGAGCUCAUGAUCAUAGACUGUUACAGUAGCAGCACAACAGUGGACGCCGCUCCAAUCUGCUUGUGGAUCCCAUGUUCCAACCUCCCCUUACUCAUGAACAAGACUUCAAGAUUGGGUUAAUAGCCAUUUCACACAUGGUAUCUGCAGAGUAGUACACAGCUCCUCUGGGGGGACCCCGAGGCGUUCCCAGUCCAGCCGAGAAACACAGCGUGUC